rnacentral:rRNA from 1 species
UACAGAGGUCCCAAGCGUUGUUCGGAUUCACUGGGCGUAAAGGGUGCGUAGGCGGUCGGGUAAGUCUGACGUGAAAUCUUCAAGCUCAACUUGGAAACUGCGUCCGACACUAUUCGGCUAGAGGAAUGGAGGGGAGACUGGAAUACUUGGUGUAGCAGUGAAAUGCGUAGAUAUCAAGUGGAACACCAGUGGCGAAGGCGAGUCUCUGGACAUUUCCUGACGCUGAGGCACGAAAGCCAGGGGAGCAAACGGG